AAUAGAUACCCAGGUAGUCCACGCCGUAAACGUUGGGCGCUAGAUGUGGGGACCAUUCCACGGUUUCCGCGUCGUAGCUAACGCAUUAAGCGCCCCGCCUGGGGAGUACGGCCGCAAGGCUAAAACUCAAAGGAAUUGACGGGGGCCCGCACAAGCGGCGGAGCAUGCGGAUUAAUUCGAUGCAACGCGAAGAACCUUACCAAGGUUUGACAUAUGCGAGAACGCUCUAGAAAUAGAGAACUCUUUGGACACUCGUAUACAGGUGGUGCAUGGUUGUCGUCAGCUCGUGUCGUGAGAUGUUGGGUUAAGUCCCGCAACGAGCGCAACCCUCGUCGCAUGUUGCCAGCACGUAAUGGUGGGAACUCAUGUGAGACUGCCGGGGUCAACUCGGAGGAAGGUGGGGAUGACGUCAAAUCAUCAUGCCCCUUAUGUCUUGGGCUUCACGCAUGCUACAAUGGCCGGUACAAAGGGCUGCGAAACCGCAAGGUGGAGCGAAUCCCAAAAAGCCGGUCUCAGUUCGGA
rnacentral:rRNA from 1 species